rnacentral:rRNA from 1 species
UACAGAGGUCCCGAGCGUUGUUCGGAUUCAUUGGGCGUAAAGGGUGCGUAGGCGGCGGGGCAAGUCUGAUGUGAAAUCCCGAGGCUCAACCCCGGAACUGCAUUGGAUACUGCCUUGCUCGAGUACUGGAGAGGGAACUGGAAUUUACGGUGUAGCAGUGAAAUGCGUAGAGAUCGUAAGGAAGGCCAGUGGCGAAGGCGAGUUCCUGGACAGUUACUGACGCUGAGGCACGAAGGCCAGGGGAGCAAACGGG